GAUGAACGCUGGCGGCGUGCCUAAUACAUGCAAGUCGAGCGAACAGACGAGGAGCUUGCUCCUCUGACGUUAGCGGCGGACGGGUGAGUAACACGUGGAUAACCUACCUAUAAGACUGGGAUAACUUCGGGAAACCGGAGCUAAUACCGGAUAAUAUAUUGAACCGCAUGGUUCAAUAGUGAAAGACGGUUUUGCUGUCACUUAUAGAUGGAUCCGCGCCGCAUUAGCUAGUUGGUAAGGUAACGGCUUACCAAGGCAACGAUGCGUAGCCGACCUGAGAGGGGGACUGGCCCCAACGGGAACGAGACACCGGCCCAGGCCCUAAGGGAGGGAAGAGGAAGGGAACCUGCCCAAAGGGGGGAAACCUUAACGGGGAAACGCGGGGGGGGGGAGGAGGGGUUUCGGUCGGUAAAACGCUUUUUUUGGGGAAAAACAAAUUGUAAAGUAACUUUGCACGUUUUGACGGUCCCUAUGCAGAAACCCACGGUAAAUUCCGG
rnacentral:rRNA from 1 species